AAUAGGAGGAUAACAAAUCAGAUUUUUCCUCUUGAUUUUCAGCUUUUUCCUCCUGACAAAAUUCAAAUCCAACUGAAAAUGCUAAAAUUUAGAAAGAAAAAUCUAAUUUGCCAUUCUCUUGUU
rnacentral:pre_miRNA from 1 species